GGAUGAUCUCAUCAGGGUUGACAGUUUAACCCUGAGUCGUCCUAAACACAGGGGUCAAAAGAAAUGAAUUAUACGGUAAUCAUAUUCACGUAGGUUCUGAAUGUUGCGAUUGCGACUAUUCGACCUAUCCGAUCAUCGGGUACCAUUGCUAGAUGAUCACUUCGAUUAGUACAGGAAUUGGUUCCUGUGCUACCGGCUUAGGUUCGAACCUGCGGGGUCACACACAUUAGAGGUUCCUUUCUGAUCUGAUGGCUGAUUAUGAGUCUUAUGUGUCUGAAACUCUAUGAUUGAAAAUUAAGAUUCUCUGAUCAUGAGUUUCACACAUUUUGGGUACUGGGGUCAAAAUUUUGAAUUUCAAAUUUUGAAUUUGAAAUUUGAACUCUUUGAUCAGGGUUUCAUAUCGAUGGUCUCUGAUGCCUAAUUGCCCAUCGAAUUUGGACUCAAUAUUUAUGAGAGGUUUAAUUAGUGAUUUGAUUGCUAAUUAACUCAAUUUGAUUGAGUAAUUAUUUUUAGAUC
rnacentral:lncRNA from 1 species